rnacentral:rRNA from 1 species
UUUGAUCCUGGCUCAGGAUGAACGCUAGCGGCAGGCUUAACACAUGCAAGUCGAGGGGUAACAGGGAAGCUUGCUUCCGCUGACGACCGGCGCACGGGUGCGUAACGCGUAUAGAACCUACCUUUUACAGAGGGAUAGCCUUUAGAAAUGAAGAUUAAUACCUCAUAGUACUAUAGAUUCGCAUGAAUUUAUAUUUAAAGAUUUAUCGGUAAAAGAUGGCUAUGCGUCCUAUUAGCUAGAUGGUAAGGUAACGGCUUACCAUGGCAACGAUAGGUAGGGGUCCUGAGAGGGAGAUCCCCCACACUGGUACUGAGACACGGACCAGACUCCUACGGGAGGCAGCAGUGAGGAAUAUUGGGCAAUGGAGGCAACUCUGACCCAGCCAUGCCGCGUGCAGGAAGACGGCCCUAUGGGUUGUAAACUGCUUUUAUACAGGAAGAAACCCUCGUACGAGUACGAGCUUGACGGUACUGUAAGAAUAAGGACCGGCUAACUCCGUGCCAGCAGCCGCGGUAAUA